UUGGCCGGUAAGGGUACCAUUCAUCCCGCCCCCAUCCGAGGUGACGGGAAAAGGUUGGGGAAUUUCCACUCUUGAUGAAAUUGACGGCUGAAGUGACGACCUGCAAGCACUGGUGCGAUUUGGAGUAAAUUCACCCAGCACUUGGGGAGGCUUGUACGUCAAGGGUGCCAGAGGCGCCGAGGCAACGCAGCCCCCACCUGUCGCUCCCCGCCAGGCGCGGAGAGUUGCUGCACGGGGAUUGGAGGGAAGAAGCUAUCAGUCUCCGCUAGGGCCCGCCUCCCCGCCAGUCCCUGGUUGGAGGAGGGGCGCGUCAGUCACUAGAGAGGUCGCCGCCUCUGGGACAGGCAAGAACAUCUCUUCAGGAACAACCAAAAUAAGCAACUGUCCAUGUGGGCCAGGGAGAUGACAGUGGCUGAGACGUACCAGGGCAGCCCAAGCGCUGACGUGAGCAGCAUGAGCGCAGCCACACAGAAGAGGUCCAGGUGGAAGCCAGCUCCCUUCUGCAGACAGGGCCCGAGGCCGAGAGCCCGUCCUCUCCCACAGAAAGAGGUGACACUCACCACGGAGGGGAAGAAGCGGCUGGUCUUGAGGUGCUUGAGAGCCAUGGCAAAGAAGAAGGAGGUUAGGAAGAGGAGGACGGAGAAGAAGGCGACGUCCGGGACCGUGUGACAGCCAGGGCCACGAGGGUGGCCUCCCCGCCGGGCACACUCAGGUGGGGGCAGCAAGGAUGCGUUGACCAGGCCUAGGUCCUGUGUGGAGAGGUGGUGAGACACGGCGGUAGGAGCGGACCACUGAGGCCCCCGAGACCCCGAGGACGCGAGGCAGAGCUCCAGCCAUCGCCAAUGGCUGGGCCUCAGUGGCCUGGGGGGGGUGGGAAGAGCCAGGAACCACUGGCUUCUUUGGCCUGCACCCGCUCUUCUCCACGGCCUCCCGGGAACAGGCCCUCACCAAGCUUAAGAUGUCAUCUUCGCCUUUUGGCUUCAUGCUUGUCCACUGAGACUCGUUUCCUGGGAAGCAGAGAAGAAUUCAGGCGUAUCUUCCCCUAAUCAGGAGCCUGAUCUCACAGGCCCAGCAGAACCAGAGGGUUCUCGGUUCUGAUUCACCUGUCUGCUGCCUCCAGUCACUACAAGUCCGUCCUCAGGACAUUGCCUCGCGCCCUGGUCCCUUCAGAUUCCCUGCCUAACAGACUCCCUGCUCCUCAGCACAGGCCUGGCAAAAGCAGAUCCCCAGCAAAUGGAUGAGCACACCAAUCUGUGUUUCCAUCCGGGCCAGAAUGGGUCCCAUCCAUGUCUAGUACGGGGCGGCACCCUUGAGCGGACACCUCUUCCCUGGUCCUGCUGUUUCUGACCUUGUGGAGGGAUCUGGGCGAGUGUAACACUCCAAGCUUCUCGCCACCCAGUCACUCGGCCCAGGGCAAGCGUGGCAAUUUAUUUGAUUGGUGAAUUGGGGAGAAGACGCUGGGCUUGCCUGGCCGCGCCCCUCUGCGGAGUAGGCUGCAGGCACCGUGUGUGCAUUUAGCUCAGCUCCUCUGGGGCGAGAUAGUCCCUGUCUGUGCAGCCAUGACCGCCUGGGUGAGUCCGUCCAUCUAAGUCUGGUGUCCUCAUUCGGAAGCCCGCUCGCUCAUAGCUGUAACGGUGUUCUUCUCUCAGCCUUGUCAGAAGUAAAGAUGAUACUGGGCCUGCUCUGUAGACUUAUUUUCGCCUGACUCAGAACUAGAGCGCUGCUGGUUACUAGCGCCUGGGGCCAGCCCAGCAGCUCGUUGAGCUGAAUGAAGAGCAGGAGGUCCUUGGGGUCCCCCAGUUUCCCGCCGGCCACGUCUAAGGGAUCAUCAGGUCUGGGCCCAGAGCCAGAGUCAUUGUCCAGCUCUCCUGUGGGCACAUUUUCACAAGCUCUGGAGACUUCAAACUCUUCCUGGCCUGACAGCUUCAUCUCGGAGUCCUUUUGUUAUUCCACCAGAUGGAAGUUCCUGGGCCAGGAAUUGAACCCAUGCCACAACAGUGACCCAAGCC